GGGGAUUUAGCUCAGCAGCAUAAGCGUCUGCCUUGCAAGCAGGCAGUCAUGAGUUCAAUCCCCA
rnacentral:tRNA from 1 species